UACUGAUCCUGAUCUACUUCAAGUUGUUCAUGAAGUCUUUGCGAAAUUAGAUCCUACAUUAGAAGGUCUUAGUCAAUUUGGAAAUGAGAUUAUACUAUUCCGAGAUGCAAAAAGAGGAUUCGGUGAUCGAGCAGCGAUUGCUUCGAGGUCAGAAAUGGUUCCCGCUGAAUGGUGGUUCAUGUAUGGAAAUCACACUCCUACAUUAAGAAGGUUGGCCAUCAAGGUUUUAUCACAAACUGCAUCAUCUUCAGCUUGUGAGAGAAAUUGGAGCAUGUUUGCCUUAAUUCAUACAAAACAAAGAAAUCGGCUUGCUUACCCGAUGCUCCAACAAUUAGUUUUCUGUUAUUA